rnacentral:rRNA from 1 species
GACCAAGGAGUCUAACAUGUGCGCGAGUCGUAGGGUUACGCUCAAAGCCCGAAGGCGCAAUGAAAGUGAAGGUCGGCCUCGAUUGCCGUUACCUAGGCGGGAUCCGUUCGGGCUUACCGGUCGUUCGCGGCUGAGCCCGGCGGCGCACCGCCGGCCCGUCUCGACCGCAUCGCCGGUGAGGCGGAGCGAGAGCGUACACGUUGGGACCCGAAAGAUGGUGAACUAUGCCCGGGCAGGACGAAGCCAGAGGAAACUCUGGUGGAGGUCCGUAGCGAUUCUGACGUGCAAAUCGAUCGUCGGACCUGGGUAUAGGGGCGAAAGAUUAAUCGAACCAUCUAGUAGCUGGUUCCU